GCCUGUUUACAAUGUACCUGCUACAACAGCGACGUAUGAAGAGGUGAAGCGAGGUCACAGAAACCAUCGUGCCUGUUUACAAUGUACCUGCUACAACAGCGACGAAUGAAGAGGUGAAGCGAGGUCACAGGUCUUUUACAGCAAGGCCACUUCAACUAUCAUUAAAUAUGCCUAAGAAGACUGGAUUUUAUUCUCAGUAAUUAUUUGCUAAAAGCUUUUGUUUCCAAGACCUUAAAAGUAGGACAUUUAAUCAUUCCAGCAUGUAUA